GACACAGUCAUCAGUGCACAUACUCGGUGACAUAUAUAUGUAUAUAUAUAUAUAUAUAUAUAUAUAUAUAUAUAUAUAUAUAAUAAUGUGUGUGUAUGUAUAUAUAUAUGUCACCGAGUAUGUGCAUUGAUGAUUGUGUC